rnacentral:rRNA from 1 species
AACGAACGCUAUCGGUAUGCUUAACACAUGCAAGUCGGACGGACUAAUUAGGGCUUGCCCCAUUUAGUUAGUGGCACAGGGGUGUGAAACACGCGGGAAUCUCCCAACUAGUACGGAAUAAUUUUUAGAAAAAAACGCAAAUAACGUAUAUUCUUAACAGAGAAAAGAUUUAUCGAUGAUGGAUGAGCCCGCGUCAGAUUAGGAUGUUGGUGAGGUAACGGCUCACCAAGCCGACGAUCUGUAGCUGGUCUGAGAGGAUGAUCAGCCACACUGGGACUGAGACACGGCCCAGACUCCUACGGAAGGCAGCAGUGGGGAAUAUUGGACAGUGGGCGAAGGCCUGAUCCAGCAAUACCGGGUGAGUGAUAAAGGCCCGAGGGUUGUAAAGCUCUUUUAGCAAUGAAGAUAUGACGUUACUUGCAGAAAAAGCCCCGGCUAACUCCGUG